CUUUGAACUCACAAACUCGUCUGCCUCCCAAGGGCCGAAAUUAAAGUGAACCUGAUGGAAGGAUUUACAGCUCAUUUCCCCUCGCGACUGGACCACUGGAGGCUGGGCAGGCGUGCCAUUGGACUUGAAUAACAUUGUCAAGGUGUGUGGCUGCCCUCCAAUCUUAGCCCCUCCAGCUUGUCACAGUCUCUACUUUGGGAGCAGUCUUCAUUGCGCUCAUCCUUCAGAGUCUUCAGGAACUCGCUCUUCCUGUCUGUGGUUCGUCGGGUCAAUUUGGUCAGGCGAGAGGAGCUGAUCUCUAUCGGAGGGGUAGUACUGGAGGGACUCUCUUUGGGAGCGUUGAGAACUACACCAGCAGCUAGUACCACUGGUUUAGUAACAGAAACUGGAUUGGUCAAAGCAGCCUCCCGGCUGGAGGAAAGUGAUCCAGAAGUGAUAUGAAGAAUCUUCUAUUGCUUUAUUGAAGAAAUCACUUUCUAAUUUGGGUCCAUCUCCAUCAUUACACAAACAUUAAAAAGGCCACUUGAGUCUGCAAAUCCGGCAGCGGCGGGGCUACGGUCAAGGACAACUCUCGGCGUCUAAGGACGCGUCCCCAGCUUCUCCGACCAGCAGAGAAAAGAUGAAAAGGAAUAUGCACUUAAGCAAAUCGAAGGCACAGGAAUAUCUAUGUCGGCUUGUAGAGAGAUUGCAUGGUUAAGAAAACGAGGAAGAGGAGAGGAACCUGCAGUGUUCUUUCGGUCUCGAAGAAACCACGGAAUUGUUGACAGCUGUAAAUGAACGAGAGAUCUGCCUGGUUUUGCCGCUAGAGUGUUGGAAUUAAAAGUGCAUACCACUACACCUAGAUUUACAAUUACAUUUAAAAAAUUAAAACUUUUCAUUGAGUCUUUAUGAAUUUCCCAUCAUGCACCCCAAUCCCGCUCAUCUCCCCGUCCCUCCAUAUCUGCCCUUUGCCCUUGUAAUCCCCCUCCCCAAAGAAAACAAAGCAAAAAUAAAUACAGAUUAAAACC
rnacentral:lncRNA from 1 species